UACAGAGGUCUCAAGCGUUGUUCGGAUUCAUUGGGCGUAAAGGGUGCGUAGGCGGCGCGGUAAGUCGGGUGUGAAAUCUCGGAGCUUAACUCCGAAACUGCAUUCGAUACUGCCGUGCUUGAGGACUGGAGAGGAGACUGGAAUUUACGGUGUAGCGGUGAAAUGCGUAGAUAUCGUAAGGAAGACCAGUGGCGAAAGGCGGGUCUCGUGGACAGUUCCUGACGUGAGGCACGAAGGUCAGGGGGAGCAAACGG
rnacentral:rRNA from 1 species